rnacentral:lncRNA from 1 species
CCUAGAGAACUCCUUUGGUGUUUUGGGGUCUCCCCAGCAUGCACAAUGGGGGUUAUGCUAGCAUCUCUUUCCUAGGGAACUCAUGAGGUUAUGUUUGAGAUAAAUAUUUAAAAACUCAUGGUGUGGUGUUCCCUGUGGAUAUUGCACACACUUAGAAAUGGAACAAAUACAAGAAGGGGUGAGAGAAAAUAAAGCAUGCGAAGAAGUUAACUUGGUGCCAUUGGGCAGAGGGUGAGAGCCCAGCAAACCGGAGAGAUCAGCUGCCCACAUCAGUGGCGAGGAGUGCGGAGAGUGGGUGAGGCUGGGGCAGGAAGCAGGCCAGCCUGCCAGAGCCCAGGAACAGGUGAAAGGCAAGAGUGAGCUCCUCACCCUGAAUUCUCAGGGUUCACAGGACCUGCUGAAGCUCACACCCGUGGACCACCCAGACUGCCUGCCGCUACAGGAUGCCCUCCGCAUCUCCCAGGACUUCUUUCCGGCAUCAGUGUGGACAUUGACCCCACUGGACUGCAGUCACA